AUAUGCUUAGAGCUCUUUUGCCUUCUUUACAAUCCAGUAUUAUAAUUCGACAUCCAGAAAGACUAUCUGUUUUACUGUUCCUAAUGGUGUCAUUUCAUUUUCCCCAAGUUGUACAUUUUUCAGAUAAAGCGAUGGGUAGUAAUGGUUUUUUAAAGUAAAUCUAUACUGUCUGUAGAUACUGACUUCCUUAUUAUGACUCAGCAAGAUUUCAAAUUAACUUGCUCUUGGGCUUUUCAGAAUUGAAAUUUCCUCACCAAAAAUGUCAGAUUUUGUUCUGUUUUACAGAUGGUCAGGUCUUAGUUUUGGAACCAACUUGAAAGGAAAACAACCCUUGUGUCCUGAAAAAUUAACUUUAUAUGUAUCGUAUUACUCUUCCUAUAACUAUUAAUUAUCAUACUCUAGAAAACUGAUAGAUCUGGCAUAUACGCCUUUCCAUGCUGUUCUCAAGUGUGGCCACCUAACUGCUGAUGUACAAGUCUUCCCCAGGCCAGAACCUUUUGUUGUAGAUGAAGAAAUUGAUCCUAUCCCUAAAGUCAUUAACACAGAUUUGGAAAUAGUGGGGUUUAUUGAUAUAGCUGAUAUUUCAAGUCCCCCAGUUCUGUCCAG
rnacentral:sRNA from 1 species